CACGUAGGGCGCAAGCGUUGUCCGGAAUUAUUGGGCGUAAAGAGCUCGUAGGCGGUCUGUUGCGUCCGCUGUGAAAACUCGGGGCUUAACCCCGAGCCUGCAGUGGAUACGGGCAGACUAGAGGUAGGUAGGGGAGAAUGGAAUUCCCGGUGUAGCGGUGAAAUGCGCAGAUAUCGGGAGGAGCACCGGUGGCGAAGGCGGAUCUCUGGGCCGUAACUGACGCUGAGGAGCGAAAGCAUGGGGAGCGAACAGG
rnacentral:rRNA from 1 species